UGACCACCACACUCCAUGUCUCCAACCCCCCACUAAGCAAAGAGCCAAAGAGGCGACGGCCGGCAGGAGAUAUUCUUUUUCGCGUCCUCGCGCGGGAUCAGCGAUCAGAUAGCCUUUCUGCCCCCCUUCUUCUUCUUCUCUGACAGACCACGUACUCCUUCCUAUAGCCACCCACAUUACCGUGCCCGUGCGUGCAUCUCUCUUUCUGAAUGGAUGCAGAGCCUGUGCCAUCGCCAUUUGCGGCAUACUACUAGUACUAAUCUUCCUAAACUGAUCGGCAUCGACACUCAGCAGGCAGUCAGCAGCACCCUUCCUAGAUCGCCGUUACCGGAGGAGAACGGGGAGCGUGCAAAACAGGUCGUGAGGCACAGAGGCAGUAGCAAACCGACGAACAGAAGCCACGGUCUUGUCUCACGCAAAAGCAUUUUUUUCCAGGCACGUUGAUGCUUGCUGCUGUCUAGUUGAAAAGAAAGAGAAAUCUGGCGUCCGACACGGAGUAAUGCAUGCAGUAGCCGCAUGCUCAGUUUGCACCGGCCGGGAUCGCACCAUCGACGUCACUAAAGCUGCUGGCCUGUUGAUGAUCUGGUAUUACUUCUCAUUGCUGCUUUAUAUUAAACCAUCAAAAAGUUUGCACCAAGAAUGAAUCAGCUAUCGUUUGUCGCAUAAUAUAAAAAAAGUACAGGAAAAGUAGGAACGGGAGACAGAGGUAGACGAAUCGAUCGAGAGUUUGGAUGGAGCCCAUCCAUGUUAGAAAAAUGUGACAUCAGCUGCCAGUAGCCUUCGUCCUGAAGCUCCUUGGCGGUUGUCAUUCCAACAAGAACGAACCAACAGGGAGGUGCGGGGGAUGCAAGAGAAACACUAUCGUCUGCACUGCACAGGUCAGGCCGCCGUAGGCUGUGGGCGAAACGAAAGCUAUCCAAUCUGGCAGACUGAUGACUCACUGGCUGAGUGGCAGUGAUCGAUUCCGGGAAUACCCGAUGAAUUAUUGGUAGUAGGUGGUGGGGGAAACGUCUGCCGCCGCCUCGUUCCUGGGCAGAAUGAUCGCAAAUUCGCAAGUCUUCCCCUCCCUCCCAAGCGCAGGAGGUAUUAUAGUACGCCGAGCGGGCGAGGAGCCGGGAAGCCGCCGGGAAAAGGCACGCCGACGCCGGCAGCUGCACGGCCUUUCAGAGAGAGCGGAGGCCCGCCUUUACUCUCCGUUGCCUUUACCCUCCCUCCGCUUUAGUGCGAUGCGUCGUCGGACGUAGGCGCUGAUGCAACGCAACUUUCAUGGCGCGCGCGUGUUAGCAGACGGUUUUCCAUGGAGCGCGUGUUUGAUUCGAAUUCGAAUGAAUGCAAAUACCUCAGCAGUCGCAGUCGCAGUCGCAUGAUCAACUUUCAGCAAAGUCGUUAAACUGUGGCUAGCUCUCUCUCUCUCUCUAUAUAUCCGCAAAACGCUUUUUUACCGUCGUCGACUGUUCAGCUAAAGGUCAUCAUCAUCAUCAUAUCUGGAACGCGAGCCUGCUGAAUCGACGAGACACGAAGACGACGACACGCGACCUUGGCCCGCCUCCUUUCGCAUGCGCUUCGCCGGUCCACGGCCCAUCUCU